UAUCACUGAUCGUUGCACCAAGGGCAAUUCAGAGGUUUAGGUUGUAUCAUGGGUUCAUAUGGUAGGUCCCACAAAAAAGAUGUACUAAGGUUAGUAGCUGCUACUCCCUCCGUUCCUAAAUAUAAGUCUUUGUAGAGAUUCCACUAGGUGGACUACAUACGGAGCAAAAUGAAUGAAUCUAAACUUAAAAUGCAUCUAUAUACAUCCGUAUGAGGUUUAUAGUGAAAUCUCUACAAAGACUUCCAUUUAGGAACGGAGGGAGUACAACUGAAGCUAUAUUCAUGCAACCGCAGGGUUUCUAUCGUUUGUCUUGGAAUGAAAUAAUAAUGCCAAGGUCCUUCAAAUGUUUCUAUUGUUUGUCUUGCUGACACUGCCUUUUGUAGAAACUUGUUUGCUUGUAGCUAUAAUUGAUUCCUCUUGUUUUCCUGAUCAUGGAACUAGAAUGCUGACAAGACCAUGGUUGGCAUUAGCUAUUGUGGAAGCUUUUGUGCAUGUAGCUAUAAAAAAUAUCAUUAUUGGUUAGCUAUUGUGGAAGCUUUUGUGCAUGUACCAUGUAGCUUCAACUGCUUCAUUACCUUAUCUCAGUCCUUAUCUUGAAAUUAAGAAAAAUCCUGAGGUUUUGAAAAGAAAGGUUCCCAUAUUGAGGACCCAAUGCGGUAGCAGGGACUGAUUCUUGGUGUUUGUUCAUGAACUAGCAAGAAGCCAAAUUUUGAGAAAGGCUACCAUGGCUCACUAAUGAGGCCGAUCACCUAUUACAUGUUUAAGUUAAUCAUUUGUGUUAUUACAAACAUCUCCCGAAAUGGUCCAUUUCAUAAUAAAUAAACAUAUUCGUUGCUAACCUAUUUAGCUGGACUUCGGAGAAACAUGAAGACAGCACAUUUACAUGCACAAACCAUUGGAGAACUCCAGCUGGUACUGUGAUCCAGCUAUUCAUUAUGUUUCCAGAUGGUUUGUGUGCAGACAUAAUUUCAGGCUAUCUUCAGUUGCUGCUCACUGUAGAUUCGACAGUGAAAUAUUUAGUUGAGAAAUGAGAUAAAAAGUUAGCCAUUUAAGCUAUGUUUCACAAACAGUCGGCAUUAGAAAAGUGAAUCAAAUUGCCUUCAUGGACAUAGAACAGUGUAUAGCAGACAGGGCAGUGAAAGCUGUAUGUCGCCAAGAUAUAAAUCUCACAGCUAAAACAUCGCUUCCCCCCAGAAUUUCCACACCCCUUGUGCGAACAAACCAUGCUCUGUUGACUGUUGUUCACUAUGAUGGAGAUUUUUUAUGUUACCAUUUUGAUUACAGGAAGCUUGCACUCUCUCAAUUAUCAUUGGUCGUUGCGCCAAGGGCAAUUCAGAGUUUUAGGUUGUAUCAUGGGCUCGUAUGGCAGGUCCUACAAAAAAGACGUACUAAGGCGGAACAGCGAGGCAUCACCAUUGGCCACGGGCAGGGAGAGAAGGCGGGUCAACAGCGGACUUUCAGGGGGCAUUGAUUCCCUGCGGUUAGGAGGCAGGGAGGACGGAGAAGGGCUGGGGCACGCCGAGCAGCCCCCAUGGAGAAAUGGAGGCCUAUCACUGUUUUGUUUUGACAUUAUAUACUGUAAUAAACUUGAAGCUCUGCCCAUCAUACUAUGCAGACUGCAGUGUGUUCUCUUGCACUGUCUAAAGUACAAAAUAAAAAAGGGCAACUAGAGGUUUUACUUCUCUUCAACAAGGAGGCCGGCCUGUGGUUGGGCCUCGGCGCGUUUCCUCAUUCAUUCUUUGACCGCUAGAGGAAGCUUGCGCUCUCUCAAUUAUCAUUGGUCGUUGCGCCAAGGGCACUUGAUAGUUUUAGGUUGCAUCAUGGUCUCAUAUGGCAGGUCUCACAAAAAAGACGUACUAAGGUUAGUAGCUGCUACAACUGAAGUUAUUAUUCAUGCAACUGCAUGGUUUCUAUUGUUUGCCUUGUAAUGAAACAAUAAUGCCAAGGUCAUUCAAAUUAUCUGGGCUAAUAGUGUCUGUUGUAGAAACUUGUUUGCUUGUAGCUAUAAUUGUUUCCUAUUGUUUGUCUGAUCACAGAACUACAAUGUAAACAAGACCAUGGUUGGCAUUAGCUAUUGUGGAAGCUUUUGUUCAUGUAGCAAUAAAAAUUAUCAUAAUUGAUUAGCUAUUGUGGAACCUUUUGUGCAUAUAGCUUCAACUGCUUCCUUGCCUUAUCUCAGUCCCUUAUCUUGAAAUUAAGAAAAAGCCUGAGGUUUUGAAAAAAGGUUCCCAUAUUGAGGACCUAAUACACUAGCAGGAACUGAUUCUUGGUGUUUGUUCAUGAACUAGCAAGAAGCCAAAUUUUGAGAUAGGCUAACGUGGCUGGCAUCCAGCCAUCACGGUACCUGUUGCAUAUGUACCUCCUUGCCAUGAAUAGCAGAAGCGUGUAAGAGAUGGGCAGGUUAGUUGCAUCCCUGCAAGACUGUGAAGUUCAGCAGGGCAAACAGACAAAAUCUUGAAGAUAACCUGGGACUACCUUUACUUUGAGGAACUAUUUCAGGAUUUGGUAUUAUCCGGAGAGUUUGAGGCGCUGUUAAAAACUUCAUUUUAGCGGUCCAUUAUGUUACCCGGUACUUAUUGUAAUACUGCAUACAAAUUACUUUACAAUGUACAUUCCGCUUAACAAUUUAAUGUUGGGACAGCAAUUCCAUAUAGAAUUAUCAUGUUAUGCAUUCUAUCACACGCAAGCCAUUUACUCCAUUAGACGAAACCGUAAAUGGGUAAUUGAAAAGUGGAUUGGGCAGGCCAUACUCAGGCGGAACAGCGAGGCAUCACCAUCGGCCACGGGCAGGGGGAAAAGGGGAUCAAUAGCGGAGUUUGAGAAGGGCGUCGAUUAGGAGGCGGAGAGGAAGGAGGAGGGCCAAGCAGGCCCUGAGGAGAAAUGAAGGCCUAUUACAUCUUUCAUUGUUGGUUGCUAAGUGCUACACCCAUCCGUUCCAUGAUUACUGUUAAACAAAAAUCAGGACAGCAAUUAUGGAACGGAGGGAGUAGUAUUUUGUUUUCACAUGAUAUUGUAACAAACUUGAAGCUUUGUGCAUCAUAGAAUGCA